AGAAUCAACGCUGGCGGCGUGCCUAACACAUGCAAGUCGCACGAGAAAGGGACUUCGGUCCUGAGUAAAGUGGCGCACGGGUGAGUAACACGUGAAUAAUCUACCUCCGAGUGGGGAAUAACUGAGAGAAAUCUUAGCUAAUACCGCAUAACACUUACGAGUCAAAGCAGCAAUGCGCUUGGAGAGGAGUUCGCGGCAGAUUAGUUAGUUGGCGGGGUAAUGGCCCACCAAGACGAUGAUCUGUAUCCGGCCUGAGAGGGCGCACGGACACACUGGAACUGAAACACGGUCCAGACUCCUACGGAGGCAGCAGUGGGGAAUUUUGCGCAAUGGGGGAAACCCUGACGCAGCAACGCCGCGUGGAGGAUGAAAUCCCUUGGGAUGUAAACUCCUUUCGAUAGGGAAGAUAAUGACGGUACCUAUAGAAGAAGCCCCGGCUAACUUCGUGCCAGCAGCCGC
rnacentral:rRNA from 1 species